AGAGACUAUCAUUAGCUUUCUGUGGCUUGAUUUCUUUUCCUUUAAGAGUCAUACAGGUGAGACUGAGAGAUGGAUCAGCAGUUAAGAGCAAUAACCACUCUCGCUGAGGACCAAUUUCAGUUCCCAGUACCCACAGCUCCUGUAAGUCCAGCAUCAGGGAAUUGGUCUCCUAGGGCAUCCUAUCAUAUGCCCUAUUCUGGCCUCCACGGGCACAGCACCCAAACGCACAUAUACACACAUGCAGUUAAAUAAAUAAUAAAAUGUCAUAUUUUAUUCAUAAUUUAAUAAGUAAUAGAAUACAUAAUACGUUAUCAGAUAAAUAAUAAUAAUCUUAGCAAGCAAAUGAAUCACAGAGGGUCUUGGACGUAUCUCGGUGGGUAGAGCGCUUGCUUAGCAUAUACAAAACCCUGGGUUAGAGACAUAGCACCACAGAAACUGGAUAUGGGGUGGGGUACAUGCUUUGAAUACCAGCACUCUGGUCCUGGAGGAGGAUGGGCAGUUCGUGGGCAUCCUCAGCUACCUAGUAAGUUUGAGGCCAGCCUGCAUACACGAGGCCCUGGUUUUAAAAUAAGAUAAAACAGGCACACAAAUAACCGUCUUCGGCUACCUCUCUGUAGGAUUAUGGGAAGUGACUGAGGUGGCACUUGAAAGUGUUUUUACGAACUGAAAUGCCAGGCAAAUGUCACAGAGGGGUUAUUAGAUACAACAGUGAGUUCUAAUUCACUGGCAUCCAGAAUUGCAGUCACUCAGUGAGUGCUUGGCUCUGUCUGAUUGACAAGGCAACAUUUACUGCCCCUCAAGACUGCAAACUAACACGUGGCACAGUGGAGACCCUCCCCAUUGGUGCCUCCACCCCAACCGGCUUUUCCUAAUGGUCUUCUACCCUCAGAUAAUCGCAUGUGUGUUUCAGUUGCACACACGUGAACACAGACACAGGCACGCACACAGGCACAUAUAGACAGGUGCACACACAGAUACACAUACAGACACACAGACAAGCAUACAGAGACACACAGAGACAGGCACACACAGACUACAGACACGGAGACAGGCACACACACAGACACACACAUAGGCACACAUAGACAGAUGCUCACACACACAAAGAUACAUACACAGACACAUGGAGAUAGGUAUACAGAGACACACAGAGACAGGCGCACGCGCGCGCACACACACACACACACACACACACACACACACACACACACACCAUCUGAUUACAGUCUGCUUACCCUUUGGAAACUCAGUUCUCUUUUAAACUUUUUCUUUGAAACAGGGUCACCUAUAUGGUCUAGACUGGUUUUGGACUUGUUACCCUCCUUUCUCAGCCUGUUGAGUGCCAAGAGUGUAGAGUAUGUUACAAUGCCUGCAUCUUGCUCUUUAAAGAAAAGAUUUUGGUGAGAAGUUCAGUUGUAAAGAACAUAUGUGGCAUCCGAUAGAUACAGAAUACUAAUAAAACACCACAUACUAAACUUCAAAAACAAUUUUGAGGUUGGGUUUCUCUGGAUACCUCUGUCUGUCCUAGAACUCACUCUGCAGACUAGGCUGGCCUAGAAUUCACAGAGAUCUGCUUGCCUUUGCUUCCUGAGCAUUGAGAUUUCAAAGCAUGUGCCACCACUCCCUGGCAGAAAAAAUUGUUUUGGGAUGGGAUGGUGUCUCAGGUAUCCCAGGCAGGCCAUAAACUCCCUUCGACGCUGAAGAUGACCUUUGAACUCAGGAUCCUCCUUCUUCAAUCUUCUAAGUGCAGAGAUUAAAGGCAUGUGUGGCCUCACCCAGAUUACAUAGUACUGGAGAUUGAAGCCAGGGCUUUGUGCCUUCAGACAAAUACUCUAUCAACUACACCCCAACCUUAAAAACAAUUUCUGAGUGUGUGUGGUCUGUGCAUACAUGUGUGCAAAUAUGUGCACUCAGAGGCCAGAGAAGGAUGGGUGUCUUGUGCUCUCAUUCUCUGUCUUGUUUCUCUGCAGUUGGGUGUUUUACUGAACCUGAAUUAGGCUGGCACGGCAAGCCCCACCAACCCUCCUGUCUCCUCUCUCCCACCGUGCUGGGGGUGGGGGGCAGACACAUGAUUUUAUUCUUCACUUUUUAUGUGGAUCCUUCCCCUAAAAUACUCCUAGUGCCUAUAAAGUGCCUGUUUGUUUCUCCUUAGUGAUUUCAUGUAAUUUCCUAUUUUUCGUUCUUCUUUAAAUGUGUGCGUGUGUGCGUGUGUGUGUGUGUGUGUGUGUGUGUGUGUGUGUGUGUUGGAUGCCCGAACUGUACAGAUCCGUGUGCCUGUACACUUGCAGAGGUGAGAGUCCCUCACUGAACCUGAAGCUGAGGCUUGCCCCUUUUUUUGGCGGAGUUGUCCAGCUACUAGCGUUCUGCAGCAGUCCGGCCUGCCCAGUACUGGGAUUACAGGCACACAAGCCUUCUAACCUUGGUGUGGUGGAUUCAAGCUCAGGCCCUCAGGUCCUCACGUUUUCAGAGUGAGCAGUCUUAGCCACCGAGCCAUGUCCCCCUGCUCUUUAAAAGUGGCUUCACCACAGCAAUACUGCCAGGCCCUGUGUUGUUCACUCCCUGAGCUCUCAUCAGGAGGAUGGAGUUGUAGCUGAGGCAGGAGGAUCUCAGAGUUCCAGGCCAACCUGGUCUACAGAGUGAGUUCCAGAACAAGCACAACCACAACCAAGGCUACACAGAGAAGCCCUGUCUUAAGCAAACAAACAGAAAACAAAAACCAAAAAGGAUUGGGUUUAAGCAUCGUCCCACAGCUUGCUUGCAUCUCCCAGUCUUCUGUUGCUGGGUUCGCCCAUCACGUAAAAGAGCAUUUGAGUGUGGGGCUGUGCUGUGACGUCUUCCUCCCACAGAGAAGGGAGGUUUUGGUAACUUCCAGUUUGGGGCUGUUAUAAAUAAUGGUUGUUCAUGUCUUUGGCUGCAUGGAAGAGUAUUUAUCUAGAUGUGAAACUGCUCCUACGACCUGCAUGUUUUUAAUUUUAUCAGAUAAGGCCAAGCUGUUGCCAGAGGCUGUACCAGCUACACUCUCCCCAGCAGCGCACAUGAACGUCCCUUGUUCUGCAUCGCUGCUCUUGCUUGGCGUUGCCUGUUUCCAUCUACUGCCAACUGGGUGGUUACCGGUCUGCAUCUCAAUUUGGCUUCCACUUGCAUUUUUCUUGUUACUAAGGGGGUUGAGCAUCUUCUUGGGUUUGUGUUUCUUUUAUAUUUUUGCAUGGUUGAAAUCCCUGUUUUGAUCUUUCCCUAAUUUUAAAGUGAUUUAGUUUUACUUUUAUGUGUAUGAGCCUUGCAUGCAUAUAUGUAUGUGCAACAUGCAUGUGCCUGGUGCUGGAGGAGGUCAAACGAGGGGGUCAGAUUCCCUGGAACUGAAGUUAUAGAGGUCUCUGAGUUGCCAUGUGGGUGUGGGCGCUGAAACUGACUUCUCUGCCGGAGCAGUAAGCAGCCCUGACUGCUGAACUCCCUCCAGUCCCCACACUUCUUUUUUUUUUUUUUUUUGGUUCUUUUUUUUCCAGAGCUGGGGACCGAACCCAGGGCCUUGCGCUUCCUAGGCAAGCGCUCUACCACGGAGCUAAAUCCCCAACCCCAUCCCCGCACUUCUAUUACCACAGUCUUCCUUUUUCAGCCUCCUCAGUGCUGCGACUACAGGUGUGCUUCGAGUGUGCACAAACCUGUAUUGUGGAGUGAGUGUGGAGGCCAGAGUAUAACCUCCGUCAACGCCCUCCUUCCACUUCAACACAAGGUCUCAUCGGCAAUGUGUGGGCCAGCCUAGCUGCUCAAGACUCUGUGGAUUCUCUUGUCUCUGCCCUACUGUCUCACAGAAGUCUGGGAAUUGCAGACAUGGGUACUGCAGUGUCCAGCUUUACAGAACUCAGAGCAAGCCACCAGUUGACAGGAAGUGAACAUAGGAUUAUUAAGAAAAAAACACAGAGAGUAAAAGAGGGCGUUAGGAGGACGAAUGACAUACAGGAAGAAGGGAGGGACACUGAGUUUGAAGGAAGUUUUGUGAGCCGGUGUGGGAGAGGAUUCCCAGUGAGAUGCUGGCUGAGGAGGAACAUCAGCUGUGUGUUUUCUCUGCCUCUCUGAGCUAGCAGGACUUCACCUCAGCCUCUGGCUUCCGAGUCUUCAUUGGUAAAAUCAAAGGACUGAGACUGGGUUAAGAAGAAACACGUCCCUUUCUCCAUUGUAAAUGCCGUGUGUCCAUUCUCGCGUGGAUUCGUGGCUGCUCGGAGAUUCUAGACACCAAUGGUAGCAGCUGUGUUGGCCGCCGCCUAGCCUCUGGCUUGCCUUCUUGUCUGCUGUAGAAUGGUUUUGUAGGUUACAAGUUCUUGUUCUCAGCGCUGCUCACCUCAGUCCCUUUCCUCUCACUUUUAGCGUCUUAGGAGUUUUUCUUUUAAACUUUUGAAGUUCCAAAGGAAACUUCUAGAUGCUCUUCCCAAAACGUCACAAUACCAAAUGUCUUUCUUAGGAUUUCCCUGUCCGGUAGUUUCCUGUGCUUUCCUACAUACCUUUCCUGGGUUUUAGAAGUCCUACAUUAUUUCCAUUCCAGCGGGCCUUCUCCCAGCGCAGAAAGGUCUCAGGAGCGCAAUGAAUUUUGGGCCAUGUAUCCUGGGUCCUGCACAGCCAGCUGGCCCCUAGGGGGCGCCUUUGUACCACACGUGAGCUCUCUGCACCCAGGUUCCUCUAUGCCCAGCUCUGGUGGGGGGCACCCUUGCCUCGUUGCAAGCUGCAGAGGCAGGUCCAGGCUAAUGUGAGGGCUCCUCUCGUCUGCCCCUGACGAGGAUGGAGCUUCCAGCCCUUUCAAAUCGCCCUUUCCCAUCUGUCUCUUUCUUGGAACCCUCCCAAUUCCUUCUUGAUUUUUGGAGGCUCGGGUCAACUCUCUGUGGCAUGCAGCUGAUGGGACUCCAGGCUCCACAAAUGAUCAAAGCCACAGGACCCACAGAGGGUGUACAGGCACACGAGGAAGGUCCUGCCUGAGUUGACUUUCAUGUUUGAUCUUGUUUUGCCUUUCCAGCUCUGUUAACUGACAGCCGGCUUGAUGCCUCCCCGCUUCUCGCUUCCAUUUUCUUGUGAGACUAACAUCACUACCUUGCAGUUUUUAAGGGUAAGUGUGGCUCUUACCCAUCCUCAAAGAAACUCCUUGUGAUAGAGACAGAGAUAUUUACAGGAAAGUACAUCUGGUCAAAAAGCAGAGAAGAAAUGAUUGUAAUGAUUGUAGGGUGCCCGGCCCCAUGUGAUACACCUACAACACGACCCCUGCACCAAAGGCUCGGGAACAUCCUGGAAAAGGGCAGUGGAAAGACUUUAAGAGCUGGAAGAAAUCUGCUAUGAUCUUGUGUCUCUUAGAAAGGACAGGGAAACUACACCCAUGCUGCCUCAUCAAGAUGGCUGCCAGAAGAAGACCUGAACAAGAACAACACCAACAGCCAUGCUAAUGCAGAAGGCAAAUAUGUCAUGCCUUCUCACCCCAACACAAAGAACUACAGGCAAUAGUGCAUGCUGAGAAUGGGAGCACCAGUCUCUCCUAGGAUGCGCCCCCUAAUUGAUUAUCCAAUACCAAGUCAUCAGCCCUGAAAUCGUAUCCGUAUAAUUAUCAUUAAAUGAAAUGAACAAGUUG